rnacentral:rRNA from 1 species
GACGAACGCUGGCGGCGCGCCUAACACAUGCAAGUCGAACGGAGCUGAGAGAAGCUUGCUUUUCUUAGCUUAGUGGCGAACGGGUGAGUAACGCGUGAGUAACCUGCCCUGGAGUGGGGGACAACAGUUGGAAACGACUGCUAAUACCGCAUAAGCCCACGAUCCGGCAUCGGAUUGAGGGAAAAGGAUUUAUUCGCUUCAGGAUGGACUCGCGUCCAAUUAGCUAGUUGGUGAGGUAACGGCCCACCAAGGCGACGAUUGGUAGCCGGACUGAGAGGUUGAACGGCCACAGUGGGACUGAGACACGGCCCAGACUCCUACGGGAGGCAGCAGUGGGGGAUAUUGCACAAUGGGGGAAACCCUGAUGCAGCGACGCCGCGUGGAGGAAGAAGGUUUUCGGAUUGUAAACUCCUGUAGUUAGGGACGAUAAUGACGGUACCUAACAAGAAAGCACCGGCUAACUACGUG